GAUAUCCAGGACCGAACGGGCAAAUGUCAAAAAUUCCCAUGGGACAUACUGGCGUUUCUGCAAGAAAUGCCGUAAUGUUCGGCCAACCAGGUGGCGUUACUGGGAGGACAGGCGAAAUCCAGCGACAUCCCGGUACUUCUGGUACUUCGUAACAUUCGCCUGGCGUUAUCUCUCCGCCAGCAGAUGCCCGGAAUGUAAGUGUUCCGUGGACGAGCCUCUUGCGUCUCCCCGGCAAGGGGAGGAGCCGAACCGAACAACGGGAUCAGAGCAGGAACGAACGAUUCAGGCGACGGAGGACGUUGAGACGCCGGAGUAAUAAUGCCAUGCAUAUAAUAUCAGGAAACCCAGUCAACCCAGCAGUCAACCCAUAUCUUCGUUCGAAUGGAGGAGCACAUUUCUGAGAUUGGGAUCGGUGGUGCUUCUUAGUGACGAUUUCGAAGCCUUAUUCCCGUGCUUUGAAACAAAAUCAAUAUUAGAUAUUGUUUUAUCACUUUCACUCAUUUUUGCUGGAAGAUUAUUGUUGUCCCGGGCCGUGUUUCUGUCGUUAAACGCUCCUCUCUUUUAAUAUUUAAUUUCUUCUUUUUGUCGUUCGAUUUCCUGCCUUAAUUGGGUCGCUAAUGUUUCGUCAUCAGAUUAUCUGAUGAGUGUGACAGAGCUGGCUUUCCACAUCCAAAUUGUGUACCUGUCAUCCUUUCUUCUCUUUUUUUUAUGCUUUGACUUGUAGUUUUUAUACGCAGCGACCGCUGUUAUUAAUAAUUAGUUAGAUAGGAACCAACAAUUUCACUCAUUGUCCCACAAUCUCUAGCAUUCCGCUCCGUUUCGAAGCACCAACUCAUUGAUUGCCCUACGAUUAGGAAUUAGAGAAGCAGGUUGGGGAAGUUUGUAUCUAACAUACAAAAAUCUGGAUAUCAACUUGGGCUGAUGAGCGGCUUUCCGACUGUAAAAUGAGCGUUUCGCUUGUCGUCAAUACGUGGUCAUCUGCCUGUGAUCCUCCGCGACAGGCCUAGAUCAACGAAUGAUUGCUGUUAAUGCGCGGCAGGUGGUUGUACUUGUUUUGUUUAUUGAAAGGUCAGAUGCAGGAGGUGACACAGGCCAAAAAAAAUUAAAUUAAAUUAAAUUAAAUUAGAAUUGAGC
rnacentral:sRNA from 2 species